UACGUAGGCAGCGAGCGUUGUUCGGAGUUACUGGGCGUAAAGGGUGUGUAGGCGGUUCUUUAAGUUUGGUGUGAAAUCUCCCGGCUCAACUGGGAGGGUGCGCCGAAUACUGAGGGACUAGAGUACGGGAGAGGAAAGUGGAAUUCCUGGUGUAGCGGUGAAAUGCGUAGAUAUCGGGAGGAACACCUGUGGCGAAGGCGGCUUUCUGGGCCUUACCUGACGCUGAGACGCGAAAGCGUGGGGAGCGAACCGG
rnacentral:rRNA from 1 species